rnacentral:rRNA from 1 species
CCUACGGGUGGCGGCAGUGGGGAAUAGUGCGCAAUGGGCGAAAGCCGGACGCAGCGACGCAGCGUGAGGGAGGAAGGUCUUCGGAGCGGAAAACUCUGUCAGCAGGGAAGAACGGUCACUGUGCUAAUCAGCAGUGAAUUGACGGUACCUGCAAAGGAAGCACCGUCUAACUCCGUGCCGGCAGCCGCGGUAAUACGGAGGGUGCGAGCGUUAAGCGGAAUUACUGGGCGUAAAGCCCUCGUAGGCGGUAGGUCAAGUCAAGUGUGAAAUCCCCGCGCUCAACGUUGGAACUGCCUUUGAAACUGGCAAACUGGAGUGUGUGAGAGGUUAGUGGAAUUCCCGGUGU